rnacentral:rRNA from 1 species
GACGAACGCUGGCGGCGUGCUUAACACAUGCAAGUCGAACGGAGGGGCGAACGGGUGACUAACACGCGGGUGAUCCGCCUUGAACUUCGGGAUAAGCUUGGGCAACUGGGACUAAUACCGGAUAGUGCAAGAUGAGCUCGCGGCCUGACAGCUUGUUGGUGGGGUAAUGGCCAACCAAGGCGUCGACGGGUAGCCGGCCUGAGAGGGUGUACGGCCACGUUGGGACUGAGAUACGGCCCAGACUCCUACGGGAGGCAGCAGUGGUGAAUAUUGCACAAUGGGCGGAAGCCUGAUGCAGCGACGCCGCGUGGGGGAUGAAGGCCUUCGGGUUGUAAACUCCUUUCGACAGGGACGCGGUACCUGUAUAAGAAGCACCGGCUAACUACGUGCCAGCAGCCGCGGUAAUUC